ensembl:snRNA
GUGUUGUAUGAAAGGAGAAAAGGUUAGCACCUCCUUGAUAAGGACAGGAGAGGUCUUAGUGGUCUUUAUAACAUAUAUAUAUAUAUAUAUAUAUAUAUAUAUAUAUAUAUAU